rnacentral:rRNA from 1 species
AACGUAGGAGACAAACGUUAUCCGGAGUUACUGGGCGUAAAGGGCGUGUAGGUGGUUUCGUAAGUCUGGCGUGAAAUUUUUCGGCUUAACCGGGAAAGGUCGUCGGAUACUGCAGAACUAGAGGACGGUAGAGGCGUGUGGAAUUCCGGGUGUAGUGGUGAAAUUCGUAGAUAUUAGGAAGAACACCGGUGGCGAAGGCGGCCCACUGGUCCGGUACUGACGCUGAGGUGCGAAAGCGUGGGGAGCAAACAGG